GUUCCAUUCUUCUUGAGUUCGGGGACUUCGACUAAAAAUGCUCACCUACUCUAUUUCCAUUGUUGGACAAAUUGUUGUCAAACAAGCUAUCGGACGACGAUGUAACUCAGUAUAUUUUCUCAAUCGACAUCAACCAAAUGACCGAAUGAAAAAUCGACACCUCAAUGAAGACAACCCUACCUCAAAAUCAAGUAGACCAUUGAAAGCAACCUAAUUUAUUUAGUCCUGCUCAGGGUCCAUUUCUUUUCUUCUUGGAUGGCUUAUAAUCAUCGACCCAUAUAGUGAUACCUAGCCUAGUUGCUUACUUAUAUUGGACUUGGCUCACUACUAUCGCCUAACGUUUGUUAUACAUAUGCUGCCCUCUUUACUUAGUUUUGACUGUGUGUUGGCUGAGCUUCUUCUCCCUUCGGAAACCGGCUACCUUCUUUAUGAUCUUGCACCUCCCAUUUUAUCUCCUCUUCUACCUUUGUGGUUGCCUUUGUGGCUGUGUUUGCAUCCCUUUAUGUGUGUCCUUUGUGGGCAAACCAUAGCAACCGAAUAGAGGAAUUGGUUUGAGGAUUUUUAGGUCGAUUGCUUUGUUGAGGUUGUCGAAUGAAGGUUAAAAAUUGGGCCCGGAGCCAAAUCUUCCGCUACAUCUAUCCAUAU
rnacentral:lncRNA from 1 species